CCAGAUUCUAAAAUAUAGAAAUAUUUUAAAAUUGUUAGCUUGUUUUAUUUCAGAUAUUGUAUCAAGUGAUAGCUGCAAUUGAUGAUUUACAAUGUCAAAUGAUGAUUUGAGGAUCAUUUUCUAAAGCACUUCACAGUUACUGUAGGCUGUCUUCCCAGCACUUUAUUUGUGCUUUAAGAAGAAACAAUUAAAUUUGAGGUCAAAUAUUCAGCAUUAGACCCAUAGUCAUUUCAAGUAUGCAAUAAGGUAUGACAAGGACACUCUGCUCACAUUGACACCAAUUAAUAACUUUCCUGAUGCUAGGGCGUAUUGAACUGGACACUGUCUAUUUCAUAAUAACCUUGCCAAAUUCCUGAAAAUUUAACAACCAGCUUCAAGCAAAUUUGCUUCAAUUGAGCCUGUUUGUAUCUAGUUUGUCCAUAGUUGUUGCCUUUGUCAUCCCCAUCACAUUCCACUGUGAGGUCCUUGAGAAGAAUGUCUCUUUGCCUUUCCCAGCAUCUCUAGCAUUUAGUCCAGUGGCAGGCAGGGGCACCAAAACAAAACCAAGCAACCCUGGGGACUCCGUGCAGCUGGGUGUGUGGGAUUUGGCUCCAAGGAGAGGGCUACUCGCUCCAUUCAGCUGGUGGCAGUUCCCUUCAGAAGGAGCAUCAGCAGCCGCCGCCACCUCAACCACCACAACCCCCAGCGUCUCACCGGCACUCAGAACCCCGUGCUAGCAGCGCCGCGCCGAGCUCAGCCAAGUAAUCUUGCCUUUGGAGACCCGCGAGGAGCAGACAGCGAACACUGAGCCUUGCGGGGUGCUG
rnacentral:lncRNA from 1 species